AUUGAACGCUGGCGGCAGGCUUAACACAUGCAAGUCGAGCGGGGUGAUGGUGCUUGCACUAUCACUUAGCGGCGGACGGGUGAGUAAUGCUUAGGAAUCUGCCUAUUAGUGGGGGACAACAUCUCGAAAGGGAUGCUAAUACCGCAUACGUCCUACGGGAGAAAGCAGGGGAUCACUUGUGACCUUGCGCUAAUAGAUGAGCCUAAGUCGGAUUAGCUAGUUGGUGGGGUAAAGGCCUACCAAGGCGACGAUCUGUAGCGGGUCUGAGAGGAUGAUCCGCCACACUGGGACUGGGACACGGCCCAGACUCCUACGGGAGGCAGCAGUGGGGAGUAUUGGACAAUGGGGGGAACCCUGAUCCAGCCAUGCCGCGUGUGUGAAGAAGGCCUUAUGGUUGUAAAGCACUUUAAGCGAGGAGGAGGCUCUUUUGGUUAAUACCCAAGAUGAGUGGACGUUACUCGCAGAAUAAGCACCGGCUAACUCUGUGCCAGCCGCCGCGGUAAGAC
rnacentral:rRNA from 1 species